rnacentral:rRNA from 1 species
AUUGGACGCUGGCGGCAUGCCUUACACAUGCAAGCCGAACGGCAGCACGGGGCAACCUGGUGGCGAGUGGCGAACGGGUGAGUAAUGCAUCGGAACGUACCUUUCAGUGGGGGAUAACGUAGCGAAAGUUACGCUAAUACCGCAUAUUCUGUGAGCAGGAAAGCAGGGGAUCGCAAGACCUUGCGCUGAUUGAGCGGCCGAUGUCAGAUUAGCUAGUUGGUGAGGUAAAGGCUCACCAAGGCGACGAUCUGUAGCGGGUCUGAGAGGAUGAUCCGCCACACUGGAACGGAGACACGGUCCAGACUCCUACGGGAGGCAGCAGUGGGGAAUUUUGGACAAUGGGGGCAACCCUGAUCCAGCCAUGCCGCGUGAGUGAAGAAGGCCUUCGGGUUGUAAAGCUCUUUCGGCCGGGAAGAAAUCGCACGGGCUAAUACCCUGUGUGGAUGACGGUACCGGAAUAAGAAGCACCGGCUAACUACGUGCCAGCAGCCGCUGUAACAC